CAUGUGUUUGUGUUGGUGCAUCAUAGCUUGUCUACUUAUGUAUAAAAGAUUAAUUUUGCUUGCUUUUUGAGUUAAUCUUUUAUUUAAUUGUCUAUACUAAUCGUUAAUUUCUCUCGUUUCCCCUUCCACUUUUCACCCAGACAUCUGGUUUUCAAACACGAUAAAUAUCCGUAAAGCUUCAAAUUGUAACCUUGUUAACAGUCUCACAAGAAGCGAAACUUGUCUUUGAGUAUUGUAAUUUUGAAUAUUCAAAUGAGUGUCUAUAAAAAAAGAAAAUUAUUUAUGCUUACAAUAAGCAGAAUUAAUUUGAUUAUCUAUUUCUCCCCCCGACAUCUUGAUGAAUGAUUGAUAGGUAUAAUGUUAUAUCAAUAGCAGUGUUAAUGUCGGUACUAUCUCCUUGCUUCUUCCCCAGCUAUAUUAAUAUCAUUGACACUCUUUAAGAUUACCAAAUAGUCCUUUUUCUCAUCUUCUCCCUCGUAAUUAGAAUAAGGGUUCUUGAUAUCUAUUGCCUACAGUUGCUCCUUUUUCUUUAGAUGUGCUUUUCAUUGAAACAUUUUUGAAUUCUAACACGGUACACUUUGGCACGCUGGUUUAUAUAUUACUUGCAGAUCAUACGAGAGUUGAGUCUGAAGCAAGCAGAGCACAGGGCAGCAACCUCGGGAGGGAAUAAAUUAUGACUUGAAUUAUGUGUAUGUGAAAGCCUUUCUGCAGGCAACUUUGCAAAAAUGAAGCAAUCUUUAAUUCUUUUUAUUAAAAUGAAUUUUAUUUUUAUUUUUCUUUUCCUAGUGUUGAUGAUGUUAGGUGCAUUGAUAAUCAAGUUGAAAGAUUUCGAAUGUCUAGUUUGAAUAGUCUUUUUCUUUUUUUUUUUUCUUUUUUUUUUCUUUUUUUUGUCAAGGAUAUGAAUCUAUUAUAAAAUUUUUCUGGAGUGUGGCUUUGUGUA